UCUCAGUGAAGGGAUAUUCACUUUCCACCCCCAAUCCAGUUCACCUGGCAAGGUGAACACAUUUGAUCUGGCUUGGGGAGAAGAGUAAAAUUUAUUCCAGAAGAAAUUGUCUUGGGAU
ensembl:snoRNA SNORD22 Small nucleolar RNA SNORD22